UCUAAUGUGGCAGAAUAGUGCUUUGGAUUUAAGCCCCAAAUAUAAAGUCUUACCUUUUUUUAGAA
rnacentral:tRNA from 1 species